UACCAGAAGCUGCAGAAUGCUUACAUGUGGUAAUAACAGUGCUGUGUGCUAAAUGCACCCAGGCUUUUUAGGCAAGAUACGAGCCUUUGUGUGACCUUUUCAGGGAAUUUUGUCCAUCUGCCAUUUCUCAAUUCUGUGCGACUUCUCAAUGAACUUCUCAUCGAUCUCAACAUCUCCAAGGACCGUUUGUUUGUUCCUAUUGUUUUUCAUUGCUAUUUGUUGUUCAUGUCGUACUUCUUACAGCAUCUCUUGGUUCUGUAUUGUGCAUUUUUAAUUUUUUCCCUGAAGGAAAAUGAAAUUCUGCAGUGAGCAACAACAGAGGAAAGAAAGUUUAUGGUCUCCAAAUGUCUGCCCAGCCUCCAGGAGGCCCCAGAUACGGACACCUUCGAGAUACACAGAGGAACCACCGUCACUCCUUCUUUCUAAACUCUCCUCAGCUAUAGCUCUGUAGCCGCUAUUUCUCUAACAUUUAACUCCAGAUGUUUGUGAGGAGAACGCAGGAGCCCAGCCCUGCCCUGCGGCGCCGCUCUGGCACCAGUUCCACCAGCACAGCUGUUACUGCGGCGGCCGACAUCACGUACUUCUGCCCGGCCGCACCGCUCCUCGCCCGGCCAUCACCGCAGCUCCCGCGAUCCCACACCGCGCAUGCGCGAACAUUGGCGCAGGCCCGGACCGCCCUCCGGCGGCGGCGCAUGCGCAGUGAGCGGAGCGCGGCGCAGGAGGCGCGGUUUGUCUCCUGCCGGCGCUGGUAGCGGCUGCCGCUCCGGCCGCCCCCCCGCCCCCGCUUCCUCCGAGGAGCGAAUGGAAAGUCCGGCCCCGGCGCCCUCGCGUAUUCUGUAAAAAGAAAUCACCAUAUACUAUUGAGAAUGCACCAUGGUAAUGGUCCUCAGAAUGCCCAGCGCCAGCUCCAGAGGUCCAGGUCCUUCACGGGCAGUGAGGGAGAAGAGCAACAAGCAAAUCUGCCCCAGUCUCCUGCAGCUUCUUUUGCACCUUCUGCAAGUCCAUCUGCACCCCAGUCCCCCAGUUAUCAAAUUCAGCAAUUUAUAAUGAGUAGAAGCCCAGUGGCUGGUCAGAAUGUGAACAUCACGCUGCAGAACGUCGGACCGGUGGCUUCGGGAAACCAGCAGAUCACACUGACACCGCUGCCAAUUCCAAACCCGACAUCGCCCAGUUUUCAGUUCAGCCCUCAGCAGAGGCGGUUUGAGCAUGGAUCCCCAUCGUAUAUCCAGGUCACGUCACCGCUGCCCCAACAGGUUCAGUCUCAGAGCCCCACGCAGCCCAGCCCUGUGCCAGUACAGACGUUACCGAACGUUCGGGCAGGUACUCCAGGCCCCGGCUUGGGUAUGUGCAGCCAGAGCCCUACCAGAGGGUUUGUGGAUGCCAGCGUGCUUGUGAGGCAAAUCAGCUUGAGUCCUUCGAAUGGUGGGCACUUUGUGUAUCAGGAAGGGCCGGGAAUUGCACAGAUUGCUCAAGGAGCUGCAACGCAGGUGCAACUUCCAUCUUCUGGGACACCUGCUACGGUAAGGGAGCGCCGACUUUCACAACCUCAUUCACAGUCCGGUGGCACCAUUCAUCAUCUUGGUCCUCAAAGUCCUGUAGCUAGCGGGGCAAACAUGCAAUCCUUGACUAGCCCGGGCCACAUUACGACAACGAGCUUGCCACCCCAGAUCAGCAAUAUUAUCCAAGGGCAACUUAUGCAACAGCAGCAGCAAGUGCUUCAAGGACAGCAGCUGAGCAGACCCAUUGGCUACGACAGGGCUUCUGGGGGUUUAAUAGCCGGAGUUGGAGGGCCUGGUGCGUUUGGAAUGACAUCGCCACCGCCUCCCACAAGUCCUUCGCGGGCCACGGUGCCACAGGGGCUGUCAAGUCUUCCUCUUACACCUACGGUUAAUACGGCAGUGAAAAAACAACCCAAAAAACUGGAGGAGAUACCUCCUGCCAACCAAGAGACUGCCCAAAUGAGAAAGCAGUGUUUGGAUCACCACCACAAGCAAAUGGAAAUCCUUAAGGAAACUUUUAAGGAAUGCUUGAUUGAACUGUUUUUCCUGCAACAUCUUCAAGGGAAUAUGAUGGACUUUUUAGCUUUUAAGAAGAAACAUUGUGUUCCCCUGCAAGCCUACCUGAGGCAAAAUGACUUGGAUCUAGAGGAAGAAGAAGAGGAAGAACAAUCUGAGGUCAUCAAUGAUGAGCAAUCGCAUACAGGGACUCCAGUAACAGGGACUGUGAACACCAUAGAAAUGGAGGCUUUUAAGAGACAGCAGGCACUGGCACCAGCAGAUUCGUCUAAGAGACCACGAAUUGAAGUGGGCCGUCAUGGGAUGGUUUUUCAGCAUCCGGGUGUGGCUUCAGGAGUUCCGCUUCAACAGCUAAUGCCAACGGCACAAGGUGGAAUGCCUCCCACUCCUCAAACGGUGCAGCUGACUGGACAGAAACAGAGCCAACAGCAGUACGACCCUUCCAAAGGCCCUCCUGUGCAGAACGCCGCAAGUCUGCAUACGCCGCCGCCGCAGCUGCCUGGGAGGCUGCAACCUGUGAAUGUCCCCAUGACGUCUCUUCCAGCUGCACUGCAGAUUUCGCAGCAGCAGCCACAGAUAGUGGAAUCUCCGUCUCAGCCCCAGAUUCAGGUGAAGAUCCAGCCCCAAAGCGUCCCCCUGACUUCUGCUCCGCUUCCAGCUCCGCUUCAGCAGCAGGUGCCACCAGCAAUCCAUGUACAAGGACAGACACCAAACCAAGUGUCGCAGCCGCAAGCUACAAUACAGCAACAGGCUGUGACUCUGACACGACCAUCUGCAGAUCCUGUUCAGACUUCUCAGCGUCUUACAGCAAAUAUACUACCGCCUACCUCAUCCGUUGCACCAGCAGCUAUCGCAGGCACAGCACCGCCUUCUACGUAUCCAGUACAAACAAACAGGACCUCUCCUGCAACUAACAAGUCCCUAUCUCCUAUUGCAUCAAAACCUCCAGGCUUAGCGGUGGCAGCAGCACCUAAAACACAAAGUCCAGCUCAGAAUGCAGCAGUAUUGCCACAGGACAAUUCUCAAGACAAGCUUGCUGAGCAAGUCAAGCUGGAAAAUCAAAUCCAUCAGCGAAUAGCAGAAUUAAGGAAAGAAGGCUUAUGGUCCCUGAGGCGAUUGCCUAAACUCCAAGAGGCUCCAAGACCCAAAUCUCACUGGGAUUAUUUGCUGGAAGAAAUGCAAUGGAUGGCGACUGAUUUUGCCCAAGAGAGAAAGUGGAAGAUGGCAACUGCUAAGAAGAUGGUAAGAACUGUGGCCCGUUAUCAUGAGGAGAAGAAACUUAACGAAGAGCGAGCUAAAAGGGAAGAACAAAACAAACUAAGGCGAAUUGCUGCAUCAAUUGCCAGAGAAAUAGAAUACUUUUGGUCUAACAUUGAGCAGGUUGUUGAGAUAAAACUGCAAAUUGAAUUUCAAGAGAAAAGGAAAAAAGCUUUGAAUUUAAAGAGAAUUUCAAGAAAAGGUAAGGAUGCAAAAUCUUCAGAAGAUCUUUUAUUGGAAAAAGAAAGUGAAAUGAGUUCAUCAUCUGGGAGGAAAAGAAAGGCAAGCACAUCUUUGACUGAUGAGGAAGUUGAAGAUGAAGAAGAAACAAUUGAAGAACAAGAAGCUAAAGAAGGAAAUAUAAACCAUCAAACUGAAUUGUCAAAUCUGGUUAAGGAAGCUGAAUUGCCUCUGGAUGAUUUGCUAAAGAUGUAUGAAGGUGCCUUUUCUGAAAGUUUUCACUGGCCUCAGCCUAAACCUGACAGUGAAGAAGACAGCAGUGAAGAAGAAAUGGAUGACCAUAUGUCUGAUAGGGAAAGUCCUCAGAAGGAAGUUGUCCUCAUAGACUCGCUUCUCAGCAUUGACCAGUACAAGAGUAUAGACAGAUCAAGCCCUCCAAAGAAGCACAUGCGAGACAUAUCAGAAGUUGCUGCAGCAGCAGAAGUGCUGUUACCUAAAGGCAGCUCUAGGAUAACAACAGCGGUGAAAUACAAUACUCCAUCCCUAUUAUAUGGGCCUCUCAGAGAAUAUCAGAAGAUUGGGCUGGAUUGGUUAGCAAAACUGUAUAGAAAAAAUCUCAAUGGCAUUUUGGCAGAUGAGGCUGGGCUUGGAAAAACAGUGCAAAUUAUUGCCUUUUUUGCACACUUGGCUUGUAAUGAAGGUAACUGGGGUCCUCAUCUUGUUGUUGUACGGAGCUGUAACAUACUGAAAUGGGAGCUGGAGCUGAAACGCUGGUGCCCAGGGUUGAAGAUUCUUCUAUACUUUGGCAGCCAAAGAGAACUAAGGGCAAAGAGACAGGAAUGGUCAGAACCCAACAGCUUUAAUGUGUGUAUCACUUCCUACAAGCAGCUGUUCAAAGGCCACCCCGCAUUUAUGAAAAUGCGAUGGAAAUAUUUAAUAGUAGAUGAGAUGCAACAAAUUAAGAACAUGACUGAGAAACACUGGGAAGCGCUUUUCAGUCUGCGCAGCCAGCAUCGUUUGCUUCUGAUAGACACUCCUUUGCAUAACACACUGAUGGAGUUGUGGACCAUGGUGCACUUCUUGAUUCCAGGAAUUUCCAGACCUUAUCUAGAUUUUCCAGUAAAAGCACCUAACGAAGAGAACCAGGAUUAUUGCCAUAAACUGGUCAUCAGGUUACACAGGAUGAUUCAGCCCUUUAUUUUGCGAAGAUCAAAGAGAGAUGUUGAAAAGCAGCUAACAAAGAAAUAUGAACAUGUACUAAAGUGUCGUCUUUCUAGUCGACAAAAAGCGAUGUACGAAGAUGUCAUAUUACAACCAGGAACUCAAGAGGCCCUCAAAAGUGGACAUUUCAUCAGUGUCCUGCAUGUCCUGAUGCAGCUGCAAAGGAUCUGUAAUCACCCAGAUCUGAUAAACCCCCGGCUUUCAAGUACUUCAUAUGUAUCAGAAACGCUGGAAUAUAGAACUGCAUCUCUUGUACUGAGUGCCCUAGAAAGGGAUAUUUGGAAGGAAUCAGACCUCUCUCUUUUUGAUCUCAUUGGAAUGGAAAACAAAAUGACUCACUAUGAAGCACAAAUGUUGCCAAAACAAAAGGUUACUAGAAAGUUAAUUGAAGAAAUUUACAGCUCUCCUCCACCACCAGCUAGGCCUAACCCAGUGAAGCUCAAACCAAGCAGGUUGUUCCAACCAGUUCAGUAUGGGCAGAAACCAGAGGGCAGAACUGUAGUUUUUCCAAGCACUCAGGUACAACGCACGGUGACCACAGCAACAGUAACUCAGCAGGGACAAGUACGGGGAAGGUCACCCAUAGCUACAGUGUCCUCAAAUCAAGCUGCAGCAGCACAGUUUCAGACAACUCAGGCUUCCACCAGUGCUCCAAGACACCAGCCCGCAGCGACCUUCACCACAGCAACUAGCACAGCCCAUCCUGUGAAACAGCGGGGCCAGACCGCAGCACAGGCCUCCCAGCUGGGCCAGGCCCAGCCACAGCCCCCCCCGCACACCAUCCAACAGAGUGUGCUGCCUCAGAGGCUGGUCCUCACCUCCCAGGCCCAGGCACGGUUGCCUAGUGGUGAGGUAGUAAAAAUAGCGCAGCUGGCUUCCAUAGCAGGAGCACAAGGCAGAAUUGCUCAGCCAGAGACCCCUGUAACACUGCAGUUCCAAGGCAACAAGUUUACUUUGUCACAUAGUCAACUUCGUCAGCUCACUGCAGGGCAGCCUUUGCAGUUACAAGGAAGUGUUCUUCAGAUAGUUUCAGCACCGGGUCAGCAGUAUUUGAGACCUCAGGGUCCUGUUGUCAUGCAGACAGUUUCCCAAGCUGGAACUGUUCAGAAUGCUCUGAAUGCUUUAGGAAACCAGCAUCAAGCUGGGGUGCCAACUUCCACAGCAGUGACACAGCAAGUUUGUAUUCCAGGUAGAACUGCAGUUACUAAUUUGUCAUCUGGUGACAUGGGAGCAGUGUUAAAACCAGCACCUAUACAUGGGCAGUCACAGGAAACAUAUGAAGAAAAGAACAGACUUCUGAAGGAGCGUCUGGACAGAAUAUUCUCUGGCAAUGAGCGCCGUUGUUCAAGGGCUCCAGUGUAUGGCAGUGACUUGCUGAGUAUUUGUUCACUGACUGGUGAAAGGAGGCCAUCCCAGGUGUCUUCCUCUGGGGACAGCAGUUGGAGGUGGGCUGGCUUUGUCAACUGUUGCCUUUCCAGUGCCUCUGGAGGCCCAAGUGAUCCAUUGCAUGAAAUGAUCCAGACUUUGGUUCGGGAGCAAGAAUCUCUAAAGGAUGUUAUUGACAGGGCUCUCUUUGUAUUGCCAGCUGCAGUUGCUGCUCCCCCAUGCUUGUAUGUAGCAAACCCUCCCCCUUCAUACAGUCACAGACUGAAAGUCCUCAAACACAGCCUGAAGCAGAAGGCAGCUCCACACUUACAUCAGUUGCAACGGAUUACAACUCCACAAUUGCUACAGUUCCCUGACCUCCGCCUGGUGCAGUACGACUCAGGAAAACUAGAAGCUCUUGCUGUCUUGCUUCAGAAGUUGAAAUCUGAAGGGCGACGCGUGCUGAUUUUAUCACAGAUGAUUCUAAUGUUGGACAUACUGGAAUUGUUCCUGAAUUUCCAUUUUCUCACGUUUGUGAGGAUUGAUGAAUAUGCUAAUCACGAACAACGGCAGGAGCUGAUGAAAAGCUUCAACAGAGACAAGCGCAUUUUCUGUGCCAUCCUUUCUUCUCACAGUCGUUCCACUGGUGUCAAUCUUGUUGAAGCAGACACUGUUGUGUUCUAUGACAAUGAUCUAAAUCCAGUGAUGGAUGCAAAGGCACAGGAGUGGUGUGACAGGAUUGGGAGAUGUAAAGAUAUCCAUAUAUACAGACUUGUCAGUGGUAAUUCUGUAGAGGAGAAGCUUUUGAAAAAUGGCACAAAGGAUUUGAUCAGAGAAGUAGCAGCUCAGGGAAAUGACUAUUCAAUGGCCUUUUUAACACAACAAACGAUUCAGGAGUUGUUUGAGGUUCAUUCUCCUAUGGAGGAUUCUGGAUUUAGAGUGAAAGCGGAAGAGUUUGUAGUACUUUCUCAAGAGCCAUCUCCAGCAGAAACCAUUUCACCUAAAGUUGCAAGACCAUUCAUAGAGGCCCUCAAUAGUAUUGAACGAGAGGAUGAAGAGCCAGAUGAUCGCAUACAAGACAUAAGACCUGAGUCAAGCAUUGAACCUUUGGUCUCAGAGCUCUGUGAAUCAAAAUACAAUGAGGAGCCCUCACCGCUGCAGGAGUUAGUUGCUGUUGUGGAUCAGCUGACUCCAAUUGAGAAGUAUGCUUUGAACUAUUUAGAGCUCUUCCAUGUUUCAGUUGAUGAGAAUGAACCACGACUGAAUGAGGUGGAACUGAAAACAGCAAAGAAAGCAUGGGAAGUCCAACAUCUGAGGGAGUUAAAGGAAAAAGAGCAAAAAAUGCUCUGGGAGGAUGAAGAGGAACUUCUCACCUACACUCGGGAGGAUGCAUACAACAAAGAGUAUGUCUAUGAAGGUCCAGAUGGACAAACUGAAAUAAUGCCACUUUGGACUCCCCCAACUCCACCUCAGGAUGACAAUGACAUCUACAUUGAUUCUGUGAUGUGCCUGAUGUAUGAUACCACCCCUAUUCCAGAAUCAAAAUUGCCUCCAGUGUAUGUCAGGAAGGAACGCAAACGGCACAAAACAGAUCCUUCUGCUGCAGGUAGGAAGAAGAAGCAGCGUCACGGAGAGACGGUUAUUCCUCCUCGUUCACUUUUUGAUCGAGCAACUCCAGGAAUGUUGAAGAUGCGCCGAGAGGGCAAGGAGCAGAAGAAGAACAUCUUACUGAAACAACAAACACAGUUUGCAAAGCCUUUGCCAACUCUUGUGAAACCGGCUGCUGAGAAUGGACAGGAUAACCCCGAGUGGUUGAUCAGUGAGGACUGGGCACUUCUACAGGCAGUGAAGCAGCUGUUGGAGCUCCCUUUAAAUCUUGCUGUUGUAUCGCCAGCACACACUCCCAAUUGGGACCUUGUUAGUGAUGUUGUUAACUCAUGCAGCAGAGUCUAUCGCUCACCAAAACAAUGCAGAAACAGAUACGAAAAUGUCAUUAUCCCAAGGGAAGAAGGAAAGCUAAUGUACGAAGCUAAUCCUAAAAAGAAGACAAAAAGUAUUUAUAAGACUAAAAACAGUCGCCCACUUCGUACGAAUCAGAUCUAUGCUCAGGAUGAAGGUGCCACCCACACGCAGCUUUAUACUAACCAUUUUGAGAUGAUGAAAAUGAUUGCAGGGAAAAGAAGUCCACCUAUCAAACCGCUACUUGGCAUGAAUCCUUUCCAGAAGAAUCCAAAGCAUGCGUCUGUUCUCACAGAAAGUGGAAUCAACUAUGACAAGCCACUUCCUCCAAUUCAAGUUGCAUCCCUGCGAGCAGAACGUAUUGCAAAAGAGAAAAAGGCUUUGGCUGAACAGCAGAGGGCACAGCAACAGGCAGGCCCACAGUCUCAGCAGCAGCAAGCCGGCCAGCAGCAAGCUCAGCAGCCAGCUGUCCAGCAAGCACAGGCCCAACCACAGCCACAGGCUCAGGCACAGGUAGUUCAGCAGCCACAGGCAGUAGUGCAGACUGCAGUAACUACUGUGGCCAACACAGCAGUAUUGGCAGGCGCAAUCAAAACAGCAGUCACGGGAACAAGUAUACAGACUGCUACAGUGAGUGGGAAUGUCAUAGUGAAUACUGUUGCUGGAGUCCCUGCAGCUACCUUUCAGCCCAUCAAUAAACGUCUGGCUUCACCUGUUAUACCUGGAACACUGACUACUUCAGGAGGUACUGCAGCUGCACAAGUUGUGCAUACCCAGCAGCGGGCGGCAGCACCUGCGGCCUCCACAGAGCUGGUGACCAUAGCAUCUACACAGGGGGUCCGUGCAGUAACGUCAGUGACAGCAUCAGCUGUGGUAACGACAAACUUAACUCCUGUGCAGACCCAGACAAGAUCACUGGUGACUCAAGUUACUCCAGCGACACCAACAGUCCAGCUCUCUGGCAAAACAAUCACACCUGCUCACUUCCAGCUUUUGAGGCAACAGCAGCAGCAGGCUGCUCAGGUGCAGGUCCCUCAGAUUCAGGCUCAGGCACAAGGCCAGUCUCCAGCUCAAAUAAAAACUGUUGGGAAACUGUCACAGGAGCAGCUAAUCAAGUUGCAGAAGCAGAAGCUACAGCUUCCUCAGCAGCAGGCAGCACAGCAGACACAGCAAGGGGCACAGCAGCAAGCAGCACAAGUACAAGUGCAGCAGCAACAGCAAACUCAACAACUCACUGCUGUUACAGCACCUCGUCCUGGUGCAGUCCUCACAGGCACUACUGUGACAAACCUGCAAGUUGCUCGUCUUACUCGUGUUCCUGCUUCCCAGCUUCAAGCACAAGGACAAAUCCAGGCCCAAACUCCACAAGCAACACAGGUUGCUUUGGCAAAACCUCCAGUGGUAUCUGUUCCAGCUGCUGUGGUGUCAUCUGCAGGAGUCACUACGCUCCCUGUUACUGUUGCAGGCAUCAGUGUUGCUAUUGGGCAGCCACAGAAAGCAGCAGGAGGUCAGACUGUAGUUGCCCAGCCACUGCAUGUCCAGCAGCUUCUGAAACUCAAGCAUCAUCAAGCAGCACAGCAACAGAAAGCUAUCCAGCCCCAGGUUGCACAGGGUCAAGCUACUGUGCAGCAGAAGAUAAAUGCUCAACAGGUCACAGUCCAAACCCAACAGCAGACAUCGCAGCAACAAAAAGUAACCUAUACUACACAGCCUGCCAUUAAAACUCAGUUCUUAACGACCCCGAUUUCCCAAACCCAGAAGCCAGGUGGAACCCAGCAGGUGCAGGCUCAGAUUCAGGUUGCAAAACUUCCUCAAGUGGUCCAGCAACAGGCUACUGUUGCCAACAUUCAACAGAUGGUUUCAGUUUCCCAACAGGUACAAGCUCAACCCCAGACAGUGACCCUGUCUCAGACCACAGCAGGUCAGCAGCAGGUUCAGGUGAUUCCUGCAACAACUGCUACUGCUCAAGUUGUGCAGCAGAAACUGAUACAGCAGCAAGUUGUGACCACAGCAUCUCCCCAGAUUCAGGCUCCAGGCGUACAGAAUCCAGCCCAGACACCAGCAACAUCUGAAGCCCAGAACCAGCAAGCAAAAGUCCAAAUGAGGACACCUACUGUCAGAUUAAAGGCACCUACUAAACCAAGUUGAACUAAUGGUUAAAUGCAAUAACAGGGAAGUGCAGCAUUUCUUGUUUGCUAAGCCAAGUGAGAAGAAGCUACUCCAAACAUCCAAAUGAAGUCAAACCACUUUUUUUUUUUUUAUACUUUUAACAGAAGGACUUUGCAACACUUAGACAUGAAAACUCUCACAUAAGUUCAGUGUGUUAGCAGCUCUGCAGCACUCAGAAUCUGUACCGGGUGCAUUCUGCUGCUGUUCUCUGUGCUGAUUCAAACCUGAUAAAUCAAACAUUUCUUAGAUUUAAGUUAUGUCCAGCUUCGCAAAAGUAAAUGGGUGAAAUGCCAUAAAUGUCAGUACCAUCCAUCUGUGUUAGCAUACCACAAGCUGCCAGUGGGACCGUGCAGUUCUUUGCUUGAGUUGGGAUGUGCUCUCAGUAUCCACGUUGAAGCUGUUCAAAGACCCUGCUGUGGUUAACACAAAGUAUCUUACAUCUCAGUGAGAGCUGCAGGUUGUUCGAGCUUCAGGUAGAUAACCUGGAAGGUCUAACUUACAUUUGAAGUGCUCCCUGAAAAGCUUAGCCAGUAAAUGUGAAAACCUGUGGGUAUUUUGGAUGUGAAUGGAGCACGGCCUCUUCCUCCAAAUCAGUUUGCCUUAUUGUUGUGAAGAAAGCAAGAAGCUGCACAGAACCGUGAGCUUUUCUUUACUUUUCUGGCAUGAACAGAAAAAACUUUGCGAACAGCACUGCGUGAGGAAUCACAAAACUCCUGCUGGCUUAAAUGGAUUUAUCUUCCCUUCCUUUGGCCGUCGUGCUGCACAACGUGUACAACUAGACAGUUACAGCAUUCCUCUUCCGAGAUGGUUUUAAAGUUAUUUUUUCAUUGUGAUCUUUUUACUCCUAGGCGCUGCUCUGCUCGUUUCGAGGCGGGGCGGUGCGGCGUGUGAGCUGCGCUGCUCAACCUGCGCGGGCGGUGCGCUGAGCGCCGCGUGUUACCGCCGCCCGGCUCCGCGCUGCGGCUGUGCCCGCUGCUCCUUCGCUGUCGGGCGUUUGUAGCUGCCCCAGCAGCGUUGUGAGGAAUGGCGAUGUAUCCCACCCGAAGCUGUAAUAAAGUGUACAUUUUGUAA